rnacentral:rRNA from 1 species
GAGUUUGAUCAUGGCUCAGGAUGAACGCUGGCGGCGUGCUUAACACAUGCAAGUCGAACGAUGAACCUCACUUGUGGGGGGAUUAGUGGCGAACGGGUGAGUAACACGUGAGUAACCUGCCCUUGACUCUGGGAUAAGCCUGGGAAACCGGGUCUAAUACUGGAUACGACCUUCUGGCGCAUGCCAUGUUGGUGGAAAGCUUUUGUGGUUUUGGAUGGACUCGCGGCCUAUCAGCUUGUUGGUGGGGUAAUGGCCUACCAAGGCGACGACGGGUAGCCGGCCUGAGAGGGUGACCGGCCACACUGGGACUGAGACACGGCCCAGACUCCUACGGGACGCAGCAGAAGGGCGAAUUCUGCAGAU